rnacentral:rRNA from 1 species
AGCGAACGCUGGCGGCAGGCCUAACACAUGCAAGUCGAACGGACCCUUCGGGGUUAGUGGCGGACGGGUGAGUAACACGUGGGAACGUGCCUUUAGGUUCGGAAUAGCUCCUGGAAACGGGUGGUAAUGCCGAAUGUGCCCUUCGGGGGAAAGAUUUAUCGCCUUAGAGCGGCCCGCGUCUGAUUAGCUAGUUGGUGAGGUAAUGGCUCACCAAGGCGACGAUCAGUAGCUGGUCUGAGAGGAUGACCAGCCACAUUGGGACUGAGACACGGCCCAAACUCCUACGGGAGGCAGCAUUGGGGAAUCUUGCGCAAUGGGCGAAAGCCUGACGCAGCCAUGCCGCGUGGAUGAUGAAGGUCUUAGGAUUGUAAAAUCCUUUCACCGGUGAAGAUAAUGACUGUAGCCGGAGAAGAAGCCCCGGCUAACUUCGUGCCAGCCGCCGCCGUAAUAC